CCGUAUAUUUAUACAUUUCCGAAAUCACAUUGUAGUGACGUGUACUGAACACAAUAUAUUAUAUAAUGUAAACAACUACCUGAGAAACAGCAGAUACAGCAGCUAAAUUAAUUAUAGGCCAUUACUUUUGUAUCGUUUAUUGCAUUUAUGGAGGGAGUGGUGCAUGCUGGGUAAUGGCACAGCUAGCGACUGGGUGACUUUAUUCACCCGCUUCGGCUGCUAUCGGUCCAUACAAUGGGCGUUAUUAGCAGGAAUCAGUCCCAUAGAUAUGGGCCAUCCACCUGCUAGAUUGUUCAGAAGGUUGGUAUCAUCCAUCCAGAUGGAGGAUCACUGACAGGAGCGUGGAAGACUCCAGAAUCCACUCUGGCUGGAAUCCGGUGGAUACAGCAGUGUUCCAGGUACAGUAUGUGAUAUUCAGGGCAGGCGGUCAUCACUGGGGGAAGAAAAGAAGCAGACAUACUUCCAAGAGGGAGCUGCAGUGAGGACACAGCCUGGUCACUGAGGAGGCACUGAAAGGUUUCCCUAAUAGUUCCUGGUGAAUCAAAGCAGAACCAUAAAGGUUGCUGGACUGCAUGAUGGCCUUACCCCUGAGCAGUCAUCCUGUUAAAGGAGGAACCAGUUAGAAGCUGUUUUCAAAGUAGCUGAGCAGAUUUCAUCUCAACAGACAAAGCCGAUGGCAGAAGAUGUUUGGAGAAGAACUUCAGGCCCUGUACUGACAAGUAGAUCAAAGCAGCUCGUGCUCUUUCUGCUUCCAUUUUGAUGGCAAGAAGAAGAAGACUUCAGCGAAGUGGCGUUCAUGGUCUCAGUGGACAGUCAUGGUCACACACUGCGUGUGGUUUUAAAAGCAACAUGUCUGUUCACCACAACAAUGGAGAUGUGUAAUAUUAGUGCAGCUACGGUUUGUUCUUGAACAUCAGUUCUGUUUUCUACUUUGACCACUUAGACCAAAAAAAGUGUUGUUUUCGGAUUCUUUCUUAUAAAUCUGUAAAGCACCUGCUCAUUUUUUUAUUACAAUUAGUUUCACAUAAAUAGUAGUGUUUCCUUUAUGAUCUUUUAAUGCUUACACUAGACUGUACACGUCUACAUUAGAGACAUUUCUGUUACCUAUUUAUGAGACUGGGCUGCUUGACUACAAUUUGGAAAUGGAUGCAAAAUCACACGGAUCGUGCUAUUGUUUGUUUUUUAAUAUGAUGGACUGAACACAGGAGGUAUCUGACUAAGCAAAGAUUAAUCUGAUCCCAUUUCUACCUGUCUCUGCUGUUUCAACAUUUCACUGAAGUUUGCUCAACUGUAACUGUCAGGAUAUAUAUUUAUUCCAGCUCUCAUAGGGCAAAGGAAUGACUCAGACUUGUCAAAUGUUCUUUGACUUGAUACACAAUAUGAAGUUCACAAUUUUCUUACAAAUAAAACUAUAA